rnacentral:rRNA from 1 species
UUGCGCAAUGGAGGAAACUCUGACGCAGCCAUGCCGCGUGCAGGAUGAAUGCCCUAUGGGUUGUAAACUGCUUUUCUAGCAAGAAGAAACCUUAGUACGUGUACUAAGUUGACGGUACUGCAGGAAUAAGCACCGGCUAACUCCGUGCCAGCAGCCGCGGUAAUAU